GAGCCGUAAGUAGGGCGGCAUAAUAGGCACUAGCUUGACGGAGGCGCGCUUUGCCGCGCCCGUCAGCAAAUUUGAGAUGUACUACUUCGUUUCUUUCUCUCCGAUGGACAUCCAAAAGCUUCGUGUAUGCAUCAAUUACAAGUGAAACACAGGAAAACGUCUUCAUCUGUGAGCAACUUUUUUUUUCUUGCGAAUAAGCAAUGUCAUUGAUAGACAGAAGAGGACAAACAUAAAGAGAAGAAGCACCACACUAAGUGUGGGUUGGAGCAGAAGAAAGGGUGCUUAUCCCUCCAACACACGGCAAACUAAACAAACAUAAAGAGAAGGAGGCACCCCACUAAGUGUGGGUUGGAGUAGAAGAAAGGGUGCUUAUCCCUCCAACACAUGGCAAACUAAACACGCCUAGCCCAAUCUCAUAGAACGCAAAGCACAAAAUGUCGUGUCACAUCCAAAGUAGGAUACUCCGAAAGCACGACCAAAACAUGGGGCCAAAUUAGAUCAACGUCAAGGAACGGCUAGUGGACAGCAGGAACCGAAGGAGAGGAGAAACCGAGCAAUGAAGGUGACGCCACAAAGACCAACCCGAGUGGAUUGCACAAAGACCGAAGCGCUGAAAUCACCAAUGCCGACCGCGAAAGGGGAUUGGGGUUCCACCGAGACGCUUCCAAGGAAGUGUGUGACACUCAUUGAUAGAGUCAAAGCCGGCAGAUCCGAGUCAAAGCCGGCAAAUCUCGGGUAGGGGGUCCCGGGCUAAUAGUCUUGAAACAAUGGUAGCAAAGGAUUCAAUUGUAUCCAAGGAGUUUUUCUACGCUUGCCUCGCCACUAUAAGUACAUCGUCAUUUUGCUGAUCCGUAAAAAAAUUCCCGCACGAUUAUCCUUAGCCACAAAGUGGUUAUCAAACACAAAGUAUUUCUGUGCUCGGUAUGAGAUAGCAUGACCUAGCUUUGACAACACAUCAAUUCUCAAAAAUGUCUAGAAGCAUACGCGCGCCUUGCUGCGCUGCUUAAACUGCUACGGUGUAGAUUAUCACAAAGUUACCCAGUUAACAUUUAAUUAACAUUUUUGAAUAAUCUCAAUGCAGUUUAGUGUAGUUUCGGAGAAAAUUCAAUUCUGGAUAAAAAUUCACUUAUAUAUGAAGUUUAGCCGUAUUCUUUCAUCUCCUGACCAACUUAUGACCAAGAGCCUUGAACAAACUGAGUGCACAUACUUGCAUAUUUUAACUGAUUCCUGAAAAAGCAAGAGGACAUUACUCAAUCUAGGUGUAUUAUUACUGCAACAUCAUGCUUGGGCACAUGAAUGCAUGCUUUGCUAAGUAUUCUGAUUUGUGUGGUAUGGUGUUCAGGUUUUUGGGGCCAAAUUGCUACAUAUAGCAUGCAUCGCUAAAUCUUGUAGGUUAAUAGUUGGGACAAAUUUUUCCUGCUGCUAGCUUGUAUGAUUGACUAUUUUGAACCCUGAUAAAUCCAUAGGAACUCAAAAAGGGUUGUCUAUAGGAAAUAAUAGACACGACCAUCUAACAAUUACAGUUUGGCUUGAAAUAAAAUGAUUAUCAGUACAUAAUCUGAUUCCUAACCUUGUAAUAACUUAAAACAAUGCUGAUUUGGAAUGAAGAAGCUUGUGCAUUUCCCAUUGCAGAUCAAUGUACGAAAUUUGCAUGUGAUUCUACAAAGGACAAACUUGAUCUACAUGACAUUAACUUUAGAAGCACAUAAUCUAAUUCCAUUCCCACACACAUUUUCCUGGAGUACUCAUAUUGGUGAUACGGCAGGUAUGAAUUUUGUACUAUUGCAAAAUCAAAUCUGAAUGAGGUGGGCGCAAUGUUACCUGCUCGAGCUUCCUUGUCGCCGGAGCAACUAACGGCAGGAACUUCUGUUGGGGGAGGAGAAAGGAGAUAGGGGAGGAAUGAGGUGAGGGCGUACCUUGCUGCCAGGAGGUGAGCUGUUUGGGAGCUUCAGCGACGAACGCGACGUCGAGUACAUGCGGUGGCGGUGGUUGUGUCGUAGGAGCCUGACUGCAGAGCGUGUUCCCAUCUAGCGGCCAGUAAAUACAAGGGCCCAGCGGAACCGAAGGAAAUCGCCACCGCCAACGCCGCCGAGCAAAACCGAACGAAGUCCUGACCCCAAUGGCAGGUUGGCUGGCAACACAAGUGCUCCAGGCAACCGAGCCAAGAGCAGCAAAAGGCAAACAAAAAAUUAAAGGAGAAACGAAGAAGACCGAACCCGGUGAGAUGGAUAGGAAGAAGACGACACCGGAUUCGCUGCCUGUCCUGCCUCUAUUCCAGUCGUCAGAAUUGAGGUACCCAUGGGGAGGAGGGGCCGAAAAGAGCCGGAGCAGCCAGUUGAUGACCUAUGGUGGUGAGGAGGAGGCAGCGACCAACAUCCACGGCGGGUCACGGAUCUAGACGCUGGACGCCAUGUCGAGCCCGCCUCUCCUGCGUGUUCUGGCCAUGGGUAGCCGCCUUGAGGCCGAG
rnacentral:lncRNA from 1 species